rnacentral:tRNA from 1 species
CAAUCUGUAGGUCAGCGGCGUGAACCCCUCGGCGCCGGCGACGCCGUUGGCAGCCGCAAACGCGGCGGCAUGGGGGUUCGAAAUCGGCACGUAGA